rnacentral:pre_miRNA from 1 species
CCUAAUUUUCGUGUCUAAUAUUUAAUCGUCCGUCUUAUUUAAAUAAAAUAUAAAAAAAAUUAAAAAGACAAGUCACGUACAAAGUAUUAAUCAUGUUUUAUCAUCUAACAAUAAUAAAAAUACAAAUUAUAAAAAAAUUUCAUAUAAGACGGAUAGUUAAAGUUGGACACGGAAACUCAGGGUUUGUCUUUUU